rnacentral:siRNA from 1 species
AAUGAGUUGGGUUGUAAUGGU